UGGGGAAUAUUGGACAAUGGGCGCAAGCCUGAUCCAGCCAUGCCGCGUGAGUGAUGAAGGCCCUAGGGUUGUAAAGCUCUUUCACCGGUGAAGAUAAUGACGGUAACCGGAGAAGAAGCCCCGGCUAACUUCGUGCCAGCAGCCGCGGUAAUACGAAGGGGGCUAGCGUUGUUCGGAUUUACUGGGCGUAAAGCGCACGUAGGCGGAUUUUUAAGUCAGGGGUGAAAUCCCGGGGCUCAACCCCGGAACUGCCUUUGAUACUGGAAGUCUUGAGUAUGGUAGAGGUGAGUGGAAUUCCGAGUGUAGAGGUGAAAUUCGUAGAUAUUCGGAGGAACACCAGUGGCGAAGGCGGCUCACUGGACCAUUACUGACGCUGAGGUGCGAAAGCGUGGGGAGCAAACA
rnacentral:rRNA from 1 species